UACUGUCUUGUAAUUGGAAUGAUGGCGACCCAAACCCUCGCCAGAGUACCAAUUGGAGGGCAAGUCUGGUGCCAGCAGCCGCGGUAAUUCCAGCUCCAAUAGCGUAUAUUAAACUUGUUGCAGUUAAAAAGCUCGUAGUUGAACUUCGGCCUUGCGCGUCCUGCGGGUCUGCGCGCGGCCUUUGCGUUACUUUGAGAAAAUUAGAGUGUUUCAAGCAGGCUUUCGCCGUGAAUACUUGAGCAUGGAAUAACUGGGCAGGACCUUGGUUCUUCUUUGUUGGUUUUGUACCUGGGUAAUGGUUAAUAGGAAACGGUUGGGGGCAUUCGUAUUUA
rnacentral:rRNA from 1 species